rnacentral:rRNA from 1 species
UAAGGAAUAUUGGUCAAUGGACGCAAGUCUGAACCAGCCAUGCCGCGUGGAGGAUUAAGGCCCUUGGGUUGUAAACUCCUUUUAUCUGGGAAGAAAUGCAUUUUAUCUAAAGUGCUUGACGGUACCAGAGGAAUAAGCACCGGCUAACUCCGUGCCAGCAGCCGCGGUAAUACGGAGGGUGCAAGCGUUAUCCGGAUUUACUGGGUUUAAAGGGUGCGUAGGCGGAUAGGUAAGUCAGUGGUGAAAUCUCCGAGCUUAACUCGGAAACUGCCGUUGAUACUAUUUAUCUUGAAUAUUGUGGAGGUAAGCGGAAUAUGUCAUGUAGCGGUGAAAUGCUUAGAUAUGACAUGGAACACCAAUUGCGAAGGCAGCUUACUACACAGUUAUUGACGCUGAGGCACGAAAGCGUGGGGAUCAAACA